GGUGGCGGCAGCGCGGCGGCGCUGGCCGCGUUCCAGGCGCCGCUGGCCAUCGGCUCGGACACCGGCGGUUCCAUCCGCCAGCCGGCC
rnacentral:tRNA from 2 species